CACGUAGGUGGCGACGUAAGUCGGGUGUGAAAGCCCCGGGCUCAACCUGGGAAUUGCAUUCGAGACUGCAUUGUUGGAGUACGGAAGAGGAAGGCGGAAUUCCCGGUGUAGCGGUGAAAUGCGUAGAUAUCGGGAGGAACAUCAGUGGCGAAGGCGGCCUUCUGGUCCAGUACUGACACUCAAGUGCGAAAGCGUGGGGAGCAAACA
rnacentral:rRNA from 1 species